UGCUUAAGCUUAAAGGAGUAAAAUUCUUUGACAAUUACGAUUUGUUGGGUGCCAUCUAAUUCAUCUAGCUUGCUUGUUCUCUGAUGUAGUUGAAGUACAAUAAAAUUGUUUUUCACAAAACAGCCAUACAUAUCAAGUACUUCUAGCCUGGGUGCGCCUUUGAGAUGUCUGGGUGCGCCUGCUGAUCCUCCCUCUCUCCCAUUGCUCUUUGUAUGCCCCUCAUAUACAUUGAGUUUUGUCUCUCUAUUUUCAUUAUUGAUAAUAGUGAGACUCGUAUCCUUUUCAAAAAAAAAAAAAAUAUCAAGUACUUCUAGCGUCAGUUUUGUUUCAGCUUUCUUGUAAUCUGACUGUGUUAAGGUGUUCUUGAGUUUAAACGUCUAAUCAGGCAAGUUUUUCUCAAGGAUAUAAAUAUGGUGGACUUGCAUGAUUUGCUUAUGAGUGGUACAUUUAUUGGAGGAAGCAUCAUAGCAGUCCAGUCAUUUUUUGUGGGAGUUGAAGUUUGCAAAUUACCUGUGGCAUCGGCAGCAGAGUUCAGUUUGGGGUGGAAUAAAGAUGGCUGUUGUUUGUUGGAGGAGGUGGUUUUGAGCUUCUCUUUUAGAUUGAAGGAAGGGGACAAACUGGCAGGGUUGUGGCAAGUGAACUUCUUUUCUAUCAUGUGGAGAAAUUUAGAGGGGAGGCUAGGGAGUUAGAGUUUUUUUGAAAAAAAAAAAAGGAGACAGAACUUUACAUUAAGAGAAUGAAAAAAGAAACAAUGUUCAAAGAAGUGAAAAAGAGCAAAAUAGAAAGAAAAAAAAAACAUAGGAACAUAGGGCAAAAAGUAAGUUAGAGAGGUGAGUAUAUUUUAGUUAAUUGGUUAAUUGGCUUAUUUUCUUGUAUGGCUAUAGAUACCCAAUUUAGGGUUGUAUUUGAACCUCUUGAAUAUCUUUCCAAUAUAGAACGUUGUUCUUGGAGAGCUUUUUAUCAUCUCUAAGGAAUGAGAUUUCUCUUGUUUGGCAAUGGAUUUGGCCUAGUACUCCAACCCACUGCAUCAAGAGGUUUAAUACUUCUGUUUGGGCAUUGAUCACUAGGACUUUUUGUAAUUGUGAUAAUGGUUUGUUCUUUUUUAUUAAAUUGUUUUCUGUAAUUAUUGUUUGACUCCUUUUUAUGAGUAUCUGGUUUUGUUUGCCCUUGGUUCUUUUAUUUUUUCAAUAAAAGUUUGGUUGCUUAAAUAAAAUGGUUUUCUGGACGGAAGUGAAUUGUGGGUUUUCAGAAUUUGGUAAAUUUAGGAACAUUCCUCUGUGUAUCCUCUAGUAAAUUUUGGAUUUUCCCCUUCCACUGUAAUGGAAUUGGACCAAGAAAGGUUAAUGUGUUCCACUUAUUUCAGGGUGCUGGCACUUACAUGUUUAGAAUUGAUGAUGAACGAGUAAUUGAUGCUACAAGGGCCGGGAGCAUUGCUCAUCUGAUCAACCACUCUUGUGAAGUAUGUAUUACUUUAGCUAGUGAUUUAUUUUUUCUUUUUCCCUUUUAUGUUAGUGUUCUUUAUCCUUAUGAGAUGACUCAUUAAAUUAGGUGUCAGUAGAAUUAUCUUAUAUCAUAGUGCUUUAUGGAGAUGAAUGCAAGUUAGCUAAAUUUUUCCUUAGAUGCUUGGAAGUUAGAAGAGAAAUUUAACUCCCGUUUUUCUCUCAUGAACUAAGCUAUCUUAUUCUUAGACAGUAACUGUUGCUCCUCACAGAAGUGUUUAAGGAUAAAUAAAAGUUCAAAUUAGAAGGGGUAGGUUGCCGUACCAAGUUUAUGUCAUUGAAGGAUGGAUGAUUGGGUGCUCUGUAUAGUGAUUGCUUGCUUAGGCUUCUGCUUUAUCCAUAAAAACUUUACUACAAAUCUUUCCCCCUUUAAUGAAAUACCAUGUUUCUUACCAAACAACAAACACAACACCCCAUAGUUGAUGUAGCUGUUGUACUACAGGGACAUUAUAUAUAGUCCAAUUCUUAGAACUAAAUGAUAGCAAAUGAGAAUUGUUUCCUGUGAUGAAUUUCAUUUAGAUAUCAAAAUUUUUUUGCUUUGUUUUGCUUUUUUUUUUGGACUGUGAAAUCUUUGACGGUCUGUCUACAAAAAUAUGAAAAUGAAUUUAUUCCAUACCAUAACAUAAAGCUACACUGCAAGUUUGAUGUGGAAAUUGAGAAAAUUGUAAAGUAUCUUCUAAUCUCGUGUACAACCUAAUGAAGGAGUAAAAACUUGCAUUUUCGGCAAGGAAAUUCUCUGGUGGCAGUUUUCAUGUUCCGAUAAUUUGUUUAUGGAAUUUGGUUUCUCUGUUUCUGUUGGUCUACUUUCAUCCUUUUCUUCUUCUUCUAAAUAAGAAAUUCUCGUUGAUUAUUCACUAUAAUGUUUCCUUUAUGCAGCCAAAUUGCUACUCCAGAGUUAUAAGUGUCAAUGGAGAUGAGCACAUCAUAAUAUUUGCAAAAAGGGAUAUCAAGCGAUGGGAAGAACUUACAUAUGAUUAUAGGUUCUGCUCCUUCUGGAUGACAUAUUUUAUGCAGUCUGUAGAUGCUGACAUUUCAAUUUGCAUUCAGGUUUUUUUCCAUUGAUGAACAACUUGCUUGUUAUUGCGGGUAUCCUAGAUGCCGGGGUGUCGUUAAUGAUACGGAUGAAGAAGAACGAGUUUCGAAGCUACAUGUGUCUCGAACAGAUUUAGUAGAUUGGAGAGGGGAAUGAGGUAGGUCACAAACCAGGAAUAUUUUUUUGUUUUUUGUUUAUUGUCUUCUUUCUUUUUAAUGUUUAAAUUGCUUGAUCAUCAAGUAUAUAUAGAGGUAAGUAGCCAAUUUGGAUUCUUUUCACUUUCUGUUGUCUUAAAAACUAGGGUCUAAGAAGUGUUGACAUGGAUAUGAGACAUGGACAAGACACGACACGGACAUGGUGACACCAUUUUUUAAAAAUCUAGGACACGGCA
rnacentral:lncRNA from 1 species